rnacentral:rRNA from 1 species
GGUGUAGGUGGUUCAUCAAGUCGGAUGUGAAAUUUCCCGGCUCAACUGGGAAGGGUCAUUCGAAACUGUUGGACUAGAGGGCAGUAGAGGGAGAUGGAAUUCCCGGUGUAGUGGUGAAAUGCGUAGAUAUCGGGAGGAACACCAGUGGCGAAAGCGGUCUCCUGGACUGUUCCUGACACUGAGGCCCAAAAGCGUGGGUAGCAAACAG